rnacentral:rRNA from 1 species
AUAGUUUGAUCCUGGCUCAGGAUAAACGCUGGCGGCGCACAUAAGACAUGCAAGUCGAACGGAAGUCGUUGUAAUGAUGUUGACAUGGACAGAGAACUUGUUCGAGGAAGGUGAAGAUUGACUUACAACAAUGGCUUUAGUGGCGGACUGGUGAGUAACACGUAAGCAACCUGCCUAUCAGAGGGGAACAACAGUUAGAAAUGACUGCUAAUACCGCAUAUGCCUAAGUAACACAUGUUACAAUAGGGAAAGGAGUAAUCCGCUGAUAGAUGGGCUUGCGUCUGAUUAGAUACUUGGUGGGGUAACGGCCUACCGAGUCGACGAUCAGUAGCCGGACUGAGAGGUUGAACGGCCACAUUGGGACUGAGAUACGGCCCACACUCCUACGGGAGGCAGCAGUCGGGAAUAUUGCGCAAUGGAGGAAACUCUGACGCAGUGACGCCGCGUGCACGAAGAAGGUUUUCGGAUUGUAAACUGCUUUAGACAGGGAAGAAAAAAGACAGUACCUGUAAAAUAAGCUCCGGCUAGCUACGUGCCAGCAGCCGCGGUAAUUCGUAAGGAGCAAGCGUUAUCCGGAUUUAUAGGGUGUAAAGGGUGCGUAUACGGGAACACAAGUUACUUGUGAAAUCCCUCGGCUUAACUGAGGAACUGCAACUAAAACUAUCUUUCUUGAGUGCUGGAGAGGAAGUGGAAUUCCUAGUGUAGCGGUGAAAUGCGUAGAUAUUAGGAGGAACACCAGUGGCGAAGGCGACUUUCUGGACAGUAACUGACGUUGAGGCACGAAAGUGUGGAGAGCANACAGGAUUAGAUACCCUGGUAGUCCACACCGUAAACGAUGGAUACUAGGUGUAGGGUGUGAUAAACAUUCUGUGCCGUCGCAAACGCAAUAAGUAUCCCACCUGGGGAGUACGGCCGCAAGGUUGAAACUCAAAGGAAUUGACGGGGGCCCGCACAAGCAGUGGAGUAUGUGGUUUAAUUCGACGCAACGCGAAGAACCUUACCAGGGCUUGACAUAUACAGGAAUAAGUUAGAGAUAACUUAGCUCUUCGGAGCCUGUAUACAGGUGGUGCAUGGUUGUCGUCAGCUCGUGUCGUGAGAUGUUGGGUUAAGUCCCGCAACGAGCGCAACCCCUGUUCUUAGUUGCCAGCACGUUAAGGUGGGAACUCUAAGAAGACUGCCGGUGAUAAAUCGGAGGAAGGUGGGGACGACGUCAAAUCAUCAUGCCCUUUAUGUCCUGGGCUACACACGUACUACAAUGGCUAUUACAGAGGGAAGCGAAACCGCGAGGUGGAGCAAAACCCAAAAAAGUAGUCUCAGUUCGGAUUGAAGGCUGAAAUUCGCCUUCAUGAAGCCGGAAUUGCUAGUAAUGGCAGGUCAGCAUACUGCCGUGAAUACAGUUCCCGGGGCCCUUGUACAACACCGCCC